UACGGAGGAUCCAAGCGUUAUCCGGAUUUAUUGGGUUUAAAGGGUGCGUAGGCGGGGUAAUAAGUCAGAGGUGAAAUCCUGCAGCUUAACUGUAGAAUUGCCUUUGAUACUGUUAUUCUUGAGUAUACAUGAAGUGGGCGGAAUGUGUCAUGUAGCGGUGAAAUGCAUAGAUAUGACACAAAACACCGAUAGCGAAGGCAGCUCACUAAACUAUAACUGACGCUGAUGCACGAAAGCGUGGGGAUCAAACAGG
rnacentral:rRNA from 1 species